GUGCUUCAGGUUAAAAACAGUUUCAGGUUAAGAGCGAGCCUCCGGAACGAAUUAAGUACUUAACCCGAGGUACCACUGUACUGCAGUCCCAGGAGAAGCCCACAACAGGCAAACUUCCUUUCCUGCCCAACUGUUCCUUGUCCUCUUUUGUCAGGAUCAUUGCAUGUGGAUACAUAAAAAGCAGCAUUUUCUUUAAAAUGAAAAAAGCAGCUUGAGAGGGGCCAGUUUAGGAAAAAGCAUCAGUGUGAGGGCUGUUUUAGCCUUUCUCUGCCUGCCACUUCUCCAUUCCUAUCUACCCCCAACUGUUUCUCCCUCUCUGCGGUGCUGAACCCAUUUUGUGAGGGUAGAGUGUGGAAGGGAAAUAGCUUGAGAGGGAGGAAUCUCUUAGUGGAGAAGCAGGGCGUGGAGGGGGGGGGGCUUUCCCUGCUCAUUCUCUACUUAAACCACCCUCUUCCAACAGUGUUCUUUUAAAAUAAGUAGUAGAUUACAACUUUUACUUUCAUGCAUCUGCUUGCAAUGUUGAUGUGCCUGCUAUUCCAGAGAUCAGCAAGGUUUACCUCACCUGGGCCGGUUCACUCCCGCAGAGAUCGCUCCGUGGGCCGGAUGACGCAUCUGCACAUGCACAGACGUGAUUUCCAGCAUCGCAGAAGUGAGUCCCUACUCCGCACUGCGCCAGUUUAGCGCAGCGUGCGGGAGACCCGACAAGCGUGUGGCUCAGUUCGGAGGUGGCUCGUGGGCUGUUUAAAUGACCCCCGUGGGCCGCUUGUGGCCCAUGGGCCGCAGGUUGCCGCCCCCUGUGCUGUUCUGUGAGGUUUGGUCUCAUUUGCACUUUCUCCUCCAGCUCCAGCAGUCAUUGUUUCUUCAGAACUCUGCUAUGCACCCUGUUCCCCCCUCCCAUAGGAUAAAUGUAUGUGCCAGCUAAGUGUAAACUUGGAGAUUGCAACUUGAAAUGUUGUCUGUGGUAUGGUGCAAUGCAGCUUAUCAUGUUCUUCAAAGUUCCUUCUCUCACUGGUGCCUUCUUCGCCUGUUUCUCUGUGCUAUGCUUUUCCUCAAGUCUCACUUCCCAGCUGUUUUCCCAGGUUCCUCUUUUUUCCUUCCAAUGCCUUGCUGCAUGCUUCCACCAGCCACCUUGCCUCUGGUCUCUCCACCCCUUCGUUUUACUAUCUCCUAUGAUUUCUUUCUAGUCCUCAACCGUCCCCAAAAAGCUCUGCCUCUCCCUAGGGCCUAUGUGGUGUUUUAAUCUGAGCCAAAAUGAGAAAGUUCCUUUUCAGCCUAGAAGUUGAACUGAAAAUAUUCUGGCAACGGUCCUCACUCAGCCGUUUGAUAAUAAUCUGUCAGAAGUGCAAUACAAUAUAGUGAGUACCCCCCCUUUAAUUUUUUAAAAAAUAUAGGCAUAGUUUCUAUUGGCAUAUCACUGUCUUUUUUCAGUGCACCAAUGCGCUUGAGUUGGGUUAUCAUUAAAAUGACUGGGGAUGUGACAAUUGCUGAACACAUUCUGGAGGUGCUAUCAUUACUGCGGUGUUAACAUUGUAAUCUUCUCAGAUAUUUAAUUACUUUCCCAAAGGCAUCUAUAAAUUAAGUUCCUAAGCAGCGUGCCAUCUGAGACAUUAAAAUAUAACUUUUAAUUUGGAAAGGUUGCUGAAAAAUAAUUCAUUCUUGUGGUUGGAUUUCUUAUUUUAGUCUGUUACCCCAGCCUGUCAAAAACCAACCUCUCUUUAUCUUUAAUCUGUAUUAGCCAUUGAGGUGUGAAUUGGAAGAAACGCGCCACUUACUCAGGCUGAUAUAUAUUUUGUGUCUACGAGCACAAUAUUUCAAAAUAAUGCAUAGGUAGUUUUUAGCAGCGGUUACAGGUGUAAAAGCUCAGUUGCAAAUGGCAUAUGCUAGUUUUGUUUCACUGCACUAAUGCUUUGAGAAGAAGCUAUGUUUUCAUGAAGUCUGUCGUUAAGACAGGUUUUGUAGUGUAGAGGUUCACAAACUCUUGGGGUGUUGUUUCUUUGAGGUAUAGGAUGUAUUUGAGCUUCACACAGAACACUGCUAAUGCACAAAGGUUGAAAAUAAUGCACCUUUCUUUGACAGAUCAGAGGUUAGUUUGGAUCUCAUAAUCUGCCUGUUCUAUCUGGGGAUAUACUCACAGCUUUGUAGUACAGCAGCUGUUCUGCCUUUUGGGCAGUCGGUUCUUGGAUUUGCAGAUUCAGGAAAUCCCGUCCACUGAGAGCAUUCUGCUCUGUUUUCAUAAUGUUACUUCAAAGCCUUGUUCUCAGAUGGUUAAGUAACAAGAUGACAUAUCAUGACGACUACUUUUUGCACAGCUGAGUAGUCAAGUUUGGAUUUGUAUCUGGGUGUGUGUAUGUUAUUAACAAAGAAUGUGGGCUUUAGAAUCAUGUGACUCUGAAGCAUCUUCUUUGGAAAGAUUUAUUUUGCUAAGCUAAUAAGAUACCAAAGGACCAUAUUUAAGCAAAUUUAUUACAAUGUGGGAGACAGGGCCAGAUGGGAUGGAAAGAAAGGAAUCAAGUGCCUGUGAUGAAAUAUAAUAGCUUUUUAGUGUAAGUGAGAGAUGAGUAGUAACAACAGCAAUAACUGCGGAUGACAGCAAAGUCAUGGCCUCUGGGGAAAGUGGUUUCCUAGUAGUAUUCGACUUGGUGCUCAUUUGGCUGAGAAUAUUUUUGAACUUCUUAGGACAAACCAAAGCUGCAUUUCUGUUCUGCAUCUUCAGCUACCUGAGAACUCUUGCAAACACCCAAAGGAGAAAUACUGACUCUUCCUAAUGAACUUUUCGUGUGUGGCUGAAGAAAGACAGUGGUCAGUAUUGGCCUAACACAUACCACCCACUGCCUUGUGCGUUAACCCAGAAACAAGAAAGCUGUCUGUCGGUCUAGAUGAUGUACAAUCUCAAAAGCCACCAAGGAAGGGCCAUGAGGAAAUGGUACUCUCAAGGCAAAGAUACUGAAAUCUCCUGCACCAAAUCCCCAAUUUGGAAUGAAGUAUAAAAACGAAGAAUGUGCCGGGGUAACUUUUGUUGCUGAGGACGACUGCGUAGGCUGAAUCCUGAUGUUCACAGUCCCAUUUGCUGUGUGCACUCACUGUGGGAGUUGUGUAGCCCAGCAAGAUGUGGCACCCAUUGUGCACAACUUCCAGAGGUGUCUAAGGGCUCAUGUGUGUGGCAUUCUUAAUUCUGUGUGAAUGAGACAACUCUUCUCUUCUUCUCCCUCACCGUGCUGCACACAUUUUUGAAAUCUUUCUUGAUGUACCACCCAAGCAUGGGAUUCUUCUUCGAGCCCCCCAACACGUGGCAAACUUGAAUAAAGCUAGCUAUCCCCUUUCUUGACAGCAGUGUCGGGUCAUGUUCCUUAUACCACAAUCCCAAGCAUGCUCACUAGGAACUAAUUUCCACUGGGGUCAGAAAAAAAUUACUCCCAAGUAGAGCUAUUUUGGAGGCUCAGGUCCACAGGUGCCCUUUCAUGAGCAGAAGGCCUCUUUCUGACUUGCAUGAGAAAAGACAAAAAGGACAGUGUGUCUAUAUAUAUAUAUGUAUUUAUUUACAUAGUAUGUUUUGUCUGUAUAAUUCUAAGCACCAUACCAUGGGUUCCCUGGUGGUCUCCCAUCUGGGCACCUCAGCAGACCUGCCAAGUGUCCCUCUUUUCAAGAGACAGCCCCCGAUUUACAGAAGCCAUUGUGACACCUUCCUCUGCUGGCUCACUGGUCACCAGAGUGCUAAAAGACCUGGUGGGCUCCUAUGGUUGGAUCAUUUCGUCUGUGUGAGAGAAAGAAGAUGGAAAUGUAAGUAGGAUUUGACUCAGCAUCUGAAUUCUGUGAUGAUAGUGAAUUCCUCUUGAGCGUAGAUGUGUGAAUGCCAAGACCAGUUUAGGGACAGGAGAGUACUGUGAGCCACAUUUCUCACAUUUUCUCUUUCUUUUCUAGGCUUUCAAGGCUGAGGAAAGUGUUAUCCCGGUUGGGAAGGCUCUGCAUACCUCCUGCCAGAAGAGGAUGGCCCAGGAAAAAAUGACGAUGACAUAACCCUUGAAGACCUGGAGGGAGAGCAGGGACCCAUUUUCUGUGAGCAGCAGGACAGCUCUUGAAGAAGAUGACAGAAGAGCUCCUCCAUCAGAGGAGCUCAAGAAAUGCCCAGGAAAACAUGAAGACAAUGUCUAUUUCCAAGGAUAUGUUCAGUGUAUAUAAGAAAGUCUCUAAAACACCUAGUCAAAGUCUUCCCUGCUAGGUUGAGAAACGCUGUGUUUCCAUUUUGCUAAUUAUUUCUAAACUUGCAUGUGUGUAUUGAAACUAGCAUAUGCAAAUCUGUCCCCCCAUUUGGCCACCCUGAUAUCCUCUCUUCUUUCUCUUCCAAUAAAAAAUUCAGAAACAAUUAGCCUAAGCCAAAGAAUGGCAGUAGGGAUGAUAAUUUAGGUAAACCACUUUCCUCUCAUGUGAUCCUUCAUAGUAAAGGUUCGGGGUGAGGGGCCUUGGAACUUGCGGAAGGGCUGUACCUUGGUGGUAGGCGGUCUGAUUGACAUACAGAAAGUGGACUGAUGGAGAAGGGAUAGAGCAGUUGCCCCUUCUCAAGUGGGCUGCAAGAGGAAGGAUGCUCCCUCCAACCAGCAUAGAAACACAGCUCUCCACCUCUCAACUGCCAGCCCCUGACAGGUUAGUAAGACUUUUUGCAGGCUAGUAACUUUUGUGGGUUGUUUUAUGAAAAAUCCUCUCAAUUUCCUUUCAUUAGAGGAUUUUUCAUAAAGAAAAUGCCCAUCAAAGGAAAAUGAAAGAAAGGGGGAAAAUGGAAAUCUGGGAAGAAAUACAAAGAAAUGAAAAUGAAUUACUUAAUAAACCAGACAAUGAAAACAUUAAACAGAAUAUAAAAAUCCCUUAAACACAAUUCUCGAUGGUAAUAAAUGAAGAGCUGGAAUGGAAGAUCAAAUGGCUAAAAUAUAAACAUUUUUAAUUCAGAAAUAAGCCGGGCAAACUCUUGGCCUGGCAACUAAAGAAAAAA